UGGUAUCAGAGCCGAAGCCUCGUCCCUCUGGUCCGGUGGUGGGGCAAACCUCAACGUGGGCGUUGAGUCCCUUAGGGGGGGGUGAGCGGUGGCUGGUCACUCUGGGGAUACCAGUGCACUCACCUUAGGCAAAUCCCACAUCGGCUAAGCACGAGGAGGAAGUGAUGUACAUAGGUGCUAACAGUCUAGAACAUGGUAUACGCGUUUUGGGUGGGUUGAAAAGCCUGCCUGAAAACAAAACCGUGCGGGUCUGCGUGGCCCAAAGCGGACAAUAUAUACCAUGGGCUGGGCCGUUACAUUUGGUAUCAGAGCCGAAGCCUCGUCCCUCUGGUCCGGUGGUGGGGCAAACCUCAACGUGGGCGUUGAGUCCCUUAGGGGGGGGUGAGCGGUGGCUGGUCACUCUGGGGAUACCAGUGCACUCACCUUAGGCAAAUCCCACAUCGGCUAAGCACGAGGAGGAAGUGAUGUACAUAGGUGCUAACAGUCUAGAACAUGGUAUACGCGUUUUGGGUGGGUUGAAAAGCCUGCCUGAAAACAAAACCGUGCGGGUCUGCGUGGCCCAAAGCGGACAAUAUAUACCAUGGGCUGGGCCGUUACAUUUGGUAUCAGAGCCGAAGCCUCGUCCCUCUGGUCCGGUGGUGGGGCAAACCUCAACGUGGGCGUUGAGUCCCUUAGGGGGGGGUGAGCGGUGGCUGGUCACUCUGGGGAUACCAGUGCACUCACCUUAGGCAAAUCCCACAUCGGCUAAGCACGAGGAGGAAGUGAUGUACAUAGGUGCUAACAGUCUAGAACAUGGUAUACGCGUUUUGGGUGGGUUGAAAAGCCUGCCUGAAAACAAAACCGUGCGGGUCUGCGUGGCCCAAAGCGGACAAUAUAUACCAUGGGCUGGGCCGUUACAUUUGGUAUCAGAGCCGAAGCCUCGUCCCUCUGGUCCGGUGGUGGGGCAAACCUCAACGUGGGCGUUGAGUCCCUUAGGGGGGGGUGAGCGGUGGCUGGUCACUCUGGGGAUACCAGUGCACUCACCUUAGGCAAAUCCCACAUCGGCUAAGCACGAGGAGGAAGUGAUGUACAUAGGUGCUAACAGUCUAGAACAUGGUAUACGCGUUUUGGGUGGGUUGAAAAGCCUGCCUGAAAACAAAACCGUGCGGGUCUGCGUGGCCCAAAGCGGACAAUAUAUACCAUGGGCUGGGC
rnacentral:lncRNA from 1 species